CGAACGGCAGCACGGGUGCUUGCACCUGGUGGCGAGUGGCGAACGGGUGAGUAAUACAUCGGAACAUGUCCUGUAGUGGGGGAUAGCCCGGCGAAAGCCGGAUUAAUACCGCAUACGAUCUACGGAUGAAAGCGGGGGACCUUCGGGCCUCGCGCUAUAGGGUUGGCCGAUGGCUGAUUAGCUAGUUGGUGGGGUAAAGGCCUACCAAGGCGACGAUCAGUAGCUGGUCUGAGAGGACGACCAGCCACACUGGGACUGAGACACGGCCCAGACUCCUACGGGAGGCAGCAGUGGGGAAUUUUGGACAAUGGGCGAAAGCCUGAUCCAGCAAUGCCGCGUGUGUGAAGAAGGCCUUCGGGUUGUAAAGCACUUUUGUCCGGAAAGAAAUCCUUGGUUCUAAUAUAGCCGGGGGAUGACGGUACCGGAAGAAUAAGCACCGGCUAACUACGUGCCAGCAGCCGCGGUAAUACGUAGGGUGCGAGCGUUAAUCGGAAUUACUGGGCGUAAAGCGUGCGCAGGCGGUUUGCUAAGACCGAUGUGAAAUCCCCGGGCUCAACCUGGGAACUGCAUUGGUGACUGGCAGGCUAGAGUAUGGCAGAGGGGGGUAGAAUUCCACGUGUAGCAGUGAAAUGCGUAGAGAUGUGGAGGAAUACCGAUGGCGAAGGCAGCCCUCUGGGCCAAUACUGACGCUCAUGCAC
rnacentral:rRNA from 1 species